rnacentral:rRNA from 1 species
UACAGAGGGUGCAAGCGUUAAUCGGAAUUACUGGGCGUAAAGCGCGCGUAGGUGGUUCGUUAAGUUGGAUGUGAAAUCCCCGGGCUCAACCUGGGAACUGCAUUCAAAACUGUCGAGCUAGAGUAUGGUAGAGGGUGGUGGAAUUUCCUGUGUAGCGGUGAAAUGCGUAGAUAUAGGAAGGAACACCAGUGGCGAAGGCGACCACCUGGGACUGAUACUGACACUGAGGUGCGAAAGCGUGGGGAGCAAACAGGG